rnacentral:lncRNA from 1 species
UAGAAUCCUAAUCAGACUUCGAUAGGAAGUCAAUAUGGACUCUAUAUUAAGGGGCAUUGGUCCUGUCACAUUCUCAUGUGUAAUUUGGUUAAGAAUUAUGAUUGAUUCCACAUCAUAUGGAAGAGUGCCUGAGAAAGAAGGAUAAACCAAAUUACGCAAGUUCAAUUGAUGACAUUCAAAUUAUAGCCGAACUUCUUGCUUCCGUAGAUGAUAAAGAAUUUCGUCCUUAUGGCAUUCUGUGAGUUAUUGUAAUUUUAUUUAUGAUUCUCCAUUUUGGUAUGUAUUUAUUUUUAAGAGUUAAUUGCAUACAAGUUCCUGCAAAUAUAGUGAAUUAUAAAUAUAUCACUAAAAAAUUCAACUUUCAUAUGUUGUCCCUACAAAAGUUCUAUAUUUUUAAAUAUGUCCCUCUAGUUUGUUAUCGUUAGAGAACUAUUUUUUUUAACAGUAGAUAAAUAAAAUGUCAAUUUUGCCAUCAGAAAUAUGUCCCUCCAAAGCCCCAACUACUAUAAUCGUGAAAAAAUGUUCCCCAAAAAAUUUUCAACGGACAUCUUUGUCAC